rnacentral:rRNA from 1 species
GAUGAACGCUGGCGGCGUGCCUAAUACAUGCAAGUCGAGCGAACAGACGAGGAGCUUGCUCCUCUGACGUUAGCGGCGGACGGGUGAGUAACACGUGGAUAACCUACCUAUAAGACUGGGAUAACUUCGGGAAACCGGAGCUAAUACCGGAUAAUAUAUUGAACCGCAUGGUUCAAUAGUGAAAGACGGUUUUGCUGUCACUUAUAGAUGGAUCCGCGCCGCAUUAGCUAGUUGGUAAGGUAACGGCUUACCAAGGCAACGAUGCGUAGCCGACCUGAGGGGGUGAUCGGCCACACUGGAACUGAGACACGGUCCAGACUCCUACGGGAGGCAGCAGUAGGGAAUCUUCCGCAAUGGGCGAAAGCCUGACGGAGCAACGCCGCGUGAGUGAUGAAGGUCUUCGGAUCGUAAAACUCUGUAUUAGGGAAGAACAAAUGUGUAAGUAACUAUGCACGUCUUGACGGUACCUAAUCAGAAAGCCACGGCUAACUACGUG